rnacentral:rRNA from 1 species
ACGGAAGGCAGCAGUGGGGAAUAUUGCACAAUGGGGGAAACCCUGAUGCAGCGACGCCGCGUGAAGGAUGACGUCUUUCGGUAUGUAAACUUCUAUCAGCAAGGAAGCUGAUGACGGUACUUGACUAAGAAGCCCCGGCCAACUACGUGCCAGCAGCCGCGGUAAUACGUAGGGGGCAAGCGUUAUCCGGAUUUACUGGGUGUAAAGGGAGCGCAGGCGGCCAUGCAAGUCGGAAGUGAAAGCCCGGGGCUCAACCCGGGGACUGCUUUUGAAACUGUAGGGCUAGAUUGCCGGAGAGGUAAGCGGAAUUCCUAGUGUAGCGGUGAAAAGCGUAGAUAUUAGAAGGAACACCAGUGGCGAAGGCGGCUUACUGGACGGUGAAUGACGCUCAGGCUCGAAAGCGUGGGGAGCAAACAGGAUUAGAUACCCUGGUA